rnacentral:rRNA from 1 species
GACGAACGCUGGCGGCGUGCUUAACACAUGCAAGUCGAACGGUAAAGCCUGGUGCUUGCGGUGGGCGGGUGAGUGGAGCACGGGUGAGUAAUACGUGUGUCAUGUGCUCUUGACUCUGGGAAAUGCAUGGGACAGUGGGUCUAACACGGGAGAUGACACUCCAGCACAUGGUGGUGUGUGAAGAGGGGUUUACUGGUUUGGGAUGGACGCACGGCCUAUCAGCUUGUUGGUGGGGUAGUGGCCUACCAAGGCGAGGACGGGUAGCCGGCCUGAGAGGGUGACCGGCCACACUGGGACUGAGAUACGGCCCAGACUCCUACGGGAGGCAGCAGUGGGGAAUAUUGCACAAUGGGCGGAAGCCUGAUGCAGCGACGCCGCGUGCGGGAUGACGGCCUUCGGGUUGUAAACCGCUUUCGCCUCGGACGAAGCGUGAGUGACGGUACGUGCUGAAGAAGCGCCGGCUAACUACGUG